rnacentral:lncRNA from 1 species
GCGAAAAUAAAGUCUUAAUGAUGAUUUACCCGUGAACUGAAGUGACAAACUAUACAGUUAUUUGCCUCUCUUUUUUAUUUUUGGGAUUGGAGAGGGACAGGGAACAGGGGUUAGAAAUUGUUUUCAUUAUAAACCAUCCCUGGUUAAGCUAAUCAAACCAGUCUGCAAUAAAACAAGUCCUAUGUCCAAGGUCACAAUCACAGAAGCAAAUAUACAACACAGAGGAAAAUAGUCAACAAUCUCUCUAUUGCCAUUAAUAACAUUCCAGAUAAAAAUAGAGAGCAUAUAUAUACAAUAACACUUAGCAACUGCUUGCACAAUUCGCUAAAUCGUCAAUCAGAUAAGAUAAUGUGCUAAGAUAACUUUAACAUAUCAAGCACCAUCAUGCCCAACUCCAUAUGGUUUAUUUCAUAAGCCAAUCAAAAGAAGCAGCUGACAAAAGCCCUGCAGGUUGAAAAGAAGAUAUAAGGCGGUCAAACUUGAAGGUACUGGUAUACUAUGCUUAAUCAAUAAAGAACAUUAUGCCAUAAGAAAAUUCUGUUCCUAACCACAAAGCUACUAUUUCAUCAAAAACUUCUGAACAUUCACAUUACUUUAAAUACUGGACCAAAAGUAAAAGCAUAAGUAAAAGUUGCCCAAUAUACCAACUUAGUAAGCAUACACCACCAAAGAAUGCACUUAAUCAAAAUAAACACCAAGUAUGGUGAAACCAUGAACUUGUCUGAAUGUGCAUUAUCCUGCUCUUGAGGUCCUAUCCAUUGUAAAGUUCAGCAUAAUUUACUUCAACAUUCCAACAAUAACAACUAAGGAUAUUUUGAACUCCAAAUAACUGAAUCUAAGCUAGUGUUUGCUUCAUGAAAAGCGGACAGGUAGUUUCCAUUUUCUUUUUCACUAUCUACCAUCUUUUCUCACA